AUGAGUCCAAUUAAUGGGCAAGACGUCAUGGACGGGGUGACGUAGCGACCAGGAAACUAUAAAAGCAUGUGCUGUGGAAACAGUGGCAGCUUCUCUCAUUCAGCGAAGUGUUCUGUAUGUGUACGUCUUAUUUACUGUUGUCUGUCACUAUCCCCAAUGAUAUAAGCAUGUCAAAGUCCAAGCAGAAAUCUAAUAAAGGCGAUGAUAAAAGUAAACAUCUGUUUAGGCAGUGUGUUCCUCCCUGCCCUUGUUACAUCAUGGGUGGAUAUACACACAGCCUUUGCAUUGUUUGCUUGGGAGCGAAGCACGCUGCGUCAGCUCUCGAGGGGGCUGACCAUCCGCACUGCGAGCACCUCUCGCUGUGGAUGCUUCGCUACCGGAGUGCUCUCUUCGAGGAGGGAGCCCUCGUCAGCGUUAGUGGGGAGAUCGUUGACCAUGUUUCAGAGGCCAUCAUGUGCUGGUGUACACUGACAACACAGUGGUGUUCUUGUAGAUCAACCAGCAGGGAGGUCUGCGUUUGCGCCCCUUGUAAAAGUUGGCACAACAGACCAGUUGGCACACAUCUGACCCAGAGGAAACUCCUUUCACUAAAAGCAGUUCAAUCAGGAAGCAGACAUCCUGUUGAGACAGGGGCCGAAGUCCAGGAAAUGGAGACUCCACCCAGAUGUGGUAUGUCAGAGUUGGAGAAGAUUGGCCAGGCUCAGGUGAAUCUGUUGAAGACUCAGGAGACAUCACACUGUCCCCUCUGUUUCUCUCUGACUCAUCGAGUUCCUAUCGGGCAUGACGCUUUGGUACAGAUGUGGCCUAGGCUAUAUCUGUACGCCUUCCCCCUGAUUGGGAAGAGAGUACGCUGGGGCAAGUAUCGUUCUCGGACCUGAUUUCCCUUAUGAAACGCUCUCCAUUGGACAUUCCCAUCAGUAGUGAUCUCCUCUCACAGGCGGAGGGCAGAAUCUUUCACACCUGCCUGGAGCUGUGGAAGCUGUGAAUGUGGCCCCUGAGGGGGCACAACUCGUAGCUUCCAGGCUCUCAACCGAGGUUGUUGAGACCAUCCUCCAAUCCAGAGCUCCCUCAAUGGGGAAACUGUAUGCCCUGAAGUGGAAACUUUUCACUUCCUGAUUUGGAGAUCGCCUGCUUGCCCCAGUUAACUGCCC
ensembl:lncRNA